ACGAUUGUUGGUUGGUUUUGCAAAAGCUGAUUAGGGUUAUUAUUUGUGCCCCGUGUUUUGUUUGUUUAAUUGUGGCAAUAGGAAGUUUUGUUUCAUUGACUGCAUGAAGUGUGUUUAUGAUUUGUGGGUUAUGUUUUCUGGUUAUUUUAUCAGCAGUUGGUUUUUUGUUAAGAUGAGAAUCUUAUAAGGGUGAUACAAUUUGAGGGGAUAGGUCACAGUGCCAGCAUCUGCGGUUAAUCUGUUUUCUUUGCUUUUGUGUGGAUUAUGCGUAUUUAUUUAUGUGCAAUGUUAGGUUAAAUUUUUUUGUGACAGUGUGUGGUAAAUAGGUUUUGUUAUGAUAUAUAUGAUGACAGGGAUUAGAUACCCCAUUAAUGUAUUUUGUAAAGUUGUUCUAGUUUUGUAACUA
rnacentral:rRNA from 1 species